CAAAUCAUGCUCCCACAAUGAACCCUAAUCUUUUGUAUCUCCUCUUCCGUUCCAGUAUCGUCAUCGCCACCCGAGCAUAACUGCGUCAUUGGCCUCCUCGUUCCGGCACCGUCGUCGCCAUCCGAGCAUAACCACCUCAUUGGGUGCCCCAUUCUCUCCGUUUGUCGUGCCAUCUCCGUGCUCGAAAGCAUCGCCGUCGCCGUCUUCACAAGCAGCGCCGCCUUCCUCACGGACUUGCAAGUUAUCCACCAGCAAGUACGAGAUUCUGGAUAUGAAGAUUUAUUGGCGAUAAAUCUUUAGCUAUUGCUGCUUUAAGUAUCCUUCCUCGUUGGAAUUACUUUCAUUUUCUCAUAUUUUUAGGUGCCCCAAAAAAAAGCACCAAAGAAAAGAGAAAAUUCAUAUCAUAUAUGUUUUGUUAACUAUGUUAUUCUUUGUAAGCAAGAGUAAGAAACAGAAGUUGGUUACUUGACUAGUCUUACUUGUUCAUUCUUUUAUUUUAUUAGCUCAGGCAAUCACUCUAUCAACCUGUAUAGUUGCUCACAACAAUGCAUUGAUUGCUUUGUUGGUGUCAAAUAAUUUUGCUCAGAUAAAAAGCAAUGUAUUUAAACAAUACAGUAGGGACAAUGUAUACAGUUUGGUUUACUUUGUGGCAAAAUUAAAUUAUUGAAGGGCAAGUCAUGUGUGUCUGAUCGAGCAUGCUAUUGGCUUGGUUUUCUUUCUUAUUCAGAAAAAUGUCAAAAUCAAGUACCCUCAGUUGCUGUAUGAAUCAAAACCAAGCACCCUCUGUAGGUGUAUAUCAUUGACUUUGGUAUUGCUAAGAAAUACAGGGACAUUUCUACACAUCAGCAUAUUCUUUACAGAGAGAAUAAGAAUUUGACAUGAACGACUAGAUAUGCUACAAUGGUCAAUGGUGCCUCUCAUGGAUGGUUCUUUGAAUGCUGCAAUCAACACCUUUGAGCAUGAAGACCAAGUUGGUAUGGUAUUUGAAAUGUAUAAAAACUCUGCUGGCCUCUUCUAGCAGUUAGAAACCUCCAUUGAAUCAACUUUGGAAGAAAGUGAUCUGGAGAAAAGAGAAAAUGGGGAGCUCCUUGAAAUGAAGGUGGCAAUGAAAUUGGGAAGAAGCGUAUCACAGCUGAGGGAACUUGCCUCAAAAUCUGCUUCCUAUCGAAUAGAGGGAAUCACGGUUGAUGAAUUUGCCAGCAAGUUAUGAGAGGCUAACAUCACUAAUUCAUUCUUCUAGUAGUUUAACCUUUUUAAAAGUGAUCUAUAUGCAAGUUAUGAGCUAUGUUUAAGCUUGAAGUUGAGCUCUAUAUUUUGUAUUAUAUACACAUCUAUACAUCUAUAAUUAUUUUAAUAUAAAAAAAGCUCGAGCCAACUUUUGAGCUUUUAGUAAGUUGAAGUUGAAUUUGGUUUGAUGUGAUCAAGAUCUAGA